rnacentral:rRNA from 1 species
CCUACGGGCGGCAGCAGUGGGGAAUAUUGGACAAUGGGCGAAAGCCUGAUCCAGCCAUGCCGCGUGAGUGAUGAAGGCCUUAGGGUUGUAAAGCUCUUUCGUCAGGGAAGAUAAUGACGGUACCUGAAGAAGAAGCCCCGGCUAACUUCGUGCCAGCAGCCGCGGUAAUACGAAGGGGGCUAGCGUUGCUCGGAAUCACUGGGCGUAAAGCGCACGUAGGCGGCUUUCUAAGUCAGGGGUGAAAUCCUGGAGCUCAACUCCAGAACUGCCUUUGAUACUGGAAAGCUUGAGUUCGAGAGAGGUGAGUGGAACUGCGAGUGUAGAGGUGAAAUUCGUAGAUAUUCGCAAGAACACCAGUGGCGAAGGCGGCUCACUGGCUCGAUACUGACGCUGAGGUGCGAAAGCGUGGGGAGCAAACAGGAUUAGAUACCCCUGUAGUC